CGAACGAAGCGUGCCGGAGGAAGUUUUCGGAUGGAAUCUGGGAUGACUGAGUGGCGGACGGGUGAGUAACGCGUGGGUAACCUGCCCUGUACAGGGGGACAACAGUUAGAAAUGACUGCUAAUACCGCAUAAGCGCACAGGACCGCAUGGUCCGGUGUGAAAAACUCCGGUGGUACAGGAUGGACCCGCGUCUGAUUAGGUAGUUGGCGGGGUAACGGCCCACCAAGCCGACGAUCAGUAGCCGACCUGAGAGGGUGACCGGCCACAUUGGGACUGAGACACGGCCCAAACUCCUACGGGAGGCAGCAGUGGGGAAUAUUGCACAAUGGGGGAAACCCUGAUGCAGCGACGCCGCGUGAGUGAAGAAGUAUUUCGGUAUGUAAAGCUCUAUCAACAGGGAAGAAAAUGACGGUACCUGACUAAGAAGCCCCGGCUAACUACGUGCCAGCAGCCGCGGUAAUACGUAGGGGGCAAGCGUUAUCCGGAUUUACUGGGUGUAAAGGGAGCGUAGACGGCAGAGCAAGUCUGAAGUGAAAGCCCGCGGCCCAACUGCGGGACUGCUUUGGAAACUGCCCGGCUAGAGUGCUGGAGAGGUAAGCGGAAUUCCUAGUGUAGCGGUGAAAUGC
rnacentral:rRNA from 1 species